GGACAAUGGGCGAAAGCCUGAUCCAGCCAUUCCGCGUGAGUGAAGAAGGCCUUCGGGUUGUAAAGCUCUUUCGCAAGAGAAGAAAGAUUACGCUCUAACAUAGCGUGAUUAUGACGGUACCUUGAUAAGAAGCACCGGCUAACUACGUGCCAGCAGCCGCGGUAAUACGUAGGGUGCGAGCGUUAAUCGGAAUUACUGGGCGUAAAGCGUGCGCAGGCUGUUUUGUAAGUCAGAUGUGAAAUCCCCGAGCUCACUUGGGAACUGCGUUUGAACUACAGACUAGAAUAUGUCAGAGGGGGGUAGAAUUCCACGUGUAGCAGUGAAAUGCGUANAGAUGUGGAGGAAUAUCAAUGGCGAAGGCANCCCCCUGGGAUAAUAUUGACGCUCAUGCNCGAAAGCGUGGGGAGCAANCAGGAUUANAUACCCUGGUAGUCCNCNCCCUNAACGAUGUCAACUAGUUGUUGGGUGGANUAAAAUC
rnacentral:rRNA from 1 species